UACGUAGGGUGCAAGCGUUGUCCGGAAUUAUUGGGCGUAAAGAGCUCGUAGGCGGUCUGUUGCGUCGGCUGUGAAAACCCGGGGCUCAACUCCGGGCCUGCAGCCGAUACGGGCAGACUAGAGCUCGGCAGGGGAGACUGGAAUUCCUGGUGUAGCGGUGAAAUGCGCAGAUAUCAGGAGGAACACCGGUGGCGAAGGCGGGUCUCUGGGCCGAUACUGACGCUGAGGAGCGAAAGCGUGGGGAGCGAACAGG
rnacentral:rRNA from 1 species